GGCAAGACCGGUGCCAGCCGCCGCGGUAACACCGGCAGCCCGAGUGUUGAUCACUAUUAUUGGGUCUAAAGGGUCCGUAGCCGGUUUAAUCAGUCUUCUGGGAAAUCUAAUCGCUUAACUAUUAGGCUUCCAGGGGAUACUGUUAGACUUGGGACCGGGAGAGGUAAGAGGUACUGCAGGGGUAGGAGUGAAAUCUUGUAAUCCCUGUGAGACCACCAGUGGCGAAGGCGUCUUACCAGAACGGGUCCGACGGUGAGGGACGAAAGCUGGGGGCACGAACCGGAUUAGAUACCCGGGUAGUCCCAGCUGUAAACGAUGCUCGUUAGGUGUCAGGAACGGUGCGACUGUUUCUGGUGCCGGAGGGAAGCCGUGAAACGAGCCACCUGGGAAGUACGGCCGCAAGGCUGAAACUUAAAGGAAUUGGCGGGGGAGCACUACAACGGGUGGAGCCUGCGGUUUAAUUGGACUCAACGCCGGAAAACUCACCGGGGGCGACAGCAAUAUGUAGGUCAGGUUAAAGGUCUUACCUGAAUCGCUGAGAGGAGGUGCAUGGCCGUCGUCGGUUCGUACUGUGGAGCAUCCUGUUAAGUCAGGCAACGAGCAAGACCCGUGCCCACUGUUACCAGCAUAUCCUUUAUGGAUGAUGGGGACUCUGUGGGGACCGCUGCUGCUAAAGCAGAGGAAGGUGCGGGCUACGGUAGGUCAGUAUGCCCCGAAUCUCCCGGGCUACACGCGGGCUACAAUGGUUGGGACAAUGGGUAUCUACUCCGAAAGGAGUUGGCAAUCUCUUAAACCCAAUCGUAGUUCGAAUUGAGGGCUGUAACUCGCCCUCAUGAAGCUGGAAUCCGUAGUAAUCGCGUUUCAACAUAGCGCGGU
rnacentral:rRNA from 1 species